rnacentral:lncRNA from 1 species
CACGUGUAUAUAUUUAUUCAUUGCAUUAAUAUUAUUGAAUUCGAUUCCCAUUCAAGCUCUUCGUUUCGGCGCUUAGUCGCUUUAUUUCCACGGUAUUUCUCCCUCAUUUUCUAGCAGCAAUGUUCAGAAAUACCCCAGCUUUGAUUAAUGUAACUCAUAUUUAGUUUAUCUGCGAUUUCAGGGCGAAAAUUUGAAGAGAAAGUGAACUAAUUUAACUCGCCGACAUGGUUGAAAAGGCGGAGUACUUG